CUGAAAAGCUGAAAAGGGUUCCUUGGCCAAAUAUAAUUGGGAAACACUGGAUUAAGUGAUUGGUAUACAGACAGUAACACACCCAAGCCCAGCUUUAAGUGUCACUAGAUUCCAUCCUGACACAGGUAAUGACAAGAGGCCAAACACCUGGCAGUACUAGAAAACAGGUAAAGGUGCAGCUAGCCUGAUACCUAUUCAAAUGUAAAAUUAUUAAUUUUCCUAAUACUGUACUUACACUAAAACAAGUAGUCUGCUGUUACUGGAUGAAUAUCUUAUUUAUUUCUGGAAACAAACUACAUUUUACAUAUCUCUUCCACUAGCUUGUUUUACAUUAUGACAGGAACACUACUGACUUUGCAAAAGUGAUUUAUUAAGCCUCAAGAGAUCUAUCAAGAGACUUGAAUAUUGAUGUGUUCACAUUAACAUCCUGUGUAACAGCUGAAUACUAGAUCUGUCAUGACACAAUGAGAAUCGUAUGUUGCAGAGCAACAAGUGACAGAAGGCUUAAUUAAAGCAGAAUUGACAAAGUAUCAGAGGCAUUUAAGACAAAAUAGCUUUGUUUUAUAGAAAGAAAAGCGCAAAGAAAGGACUGCUUGGUAGAGAAAACAUGCAUGGAGAAAGGGGAAUAUUAAGACUCUCGACGUUCAGGAGGAACUGGCAAGAACUGGAUCAUGUGCUCAGAAGCAACGCGAGCAGCGCAAGACGUCCAACGUACAUGCGCUAUCCGGAAGACUGCUGCUGAAAAAAAUCUCAGAUCUGCAGUGCCAGGACAAGUCCAAGACCUACAUUGGAGCAUCCACGGGGACACACAUCUCAAAGAACCGUCAUUACUACACAGGGUGAGUUUAUCUGGGAGAGAUAUUGAAUAAAUGAACUUCUAACCUACAGAGAUAGUAUUGAAAGAUGUACUGGUGGAAAGCAGGAGAAGAUGCUUUUAAGCUGUGGACAGAAAUCAUGAGUAUCAAUUCAUUUCACAAACGUUGCAAAGAUUUUAACUAGCUGUGCAGGAGAGAAAGAUUCUAUGCCCUAUAGCCAGUUCCUAGAGUUCUCCAGGCCCCCUUCUAUGAAUAUUAAAGGGGAACAUUAUUCCUACUUCUCCAUGGCCAUGGACAUCCUUGGUCUACAGCGCACACAGUCUGGUUCAGUUCCACAAACAGGACAACAGUUUAGGAGCCUGGUGUGUAUGCUGCCUUCAUGAUGCAGGGAUCAGUUGCAUGGGGAUUAUCAGUGCAUGACUACAGAUGGAGCCCAAGGAAGGUAAAGGCAGGAACCAGUGGAUCUAAACAUAUGUAAACAUAUUGGUCAUAUUCUGCUUCAUAAGAUGGGGAACCAAUUGACCAAAAGCUGAUGAAGCUAAAAUAAUGGCCAUUGUGGCUCAGCUGCCACUCAAAGAUUCCUUCUUUCUGUUGGUCCUCCAGUGUCAAGCGCAUAUACUUUGGAGCAGCACUAAAGAGAGACUGUACCCCACAAAGACUGUUUACUAUUAAAGUGAAUAUGGUUGCCAUAUUUGUAUUAUAUUAUUGUUAGUUAGUGGCUGCAUUUGUGAAUAAAAAUGAAAUUUUAAAAAAGGAAAACAGUAUUUUUCGCUUACUGCGCCCAACACUUGUGAAUCAGACUAGUUUUCAGAUAAUUUAUAGAACCUUACUUGCCAUAACAACAUGAUUGUUCAGUGAAGCACAAAUAUCUAGCAGAGUUGGCAUUAUCAUGAAAUAAUUGGCCUUAGCACUGGCCCUUCUUGAAGAAGCUGCACUAAAAAUCAAGAUUGCUUUAUGUCAGCAUGGUCACUUAUAGCACAGUAAUGAUAGAUGACUCACAGUAGCAUCAUCAAUGUGUGAUUACAAAUUGCAGUAUGUACUUAAGCAAGCAGAUAGACACUAAAAAACGUUUUUCCUCAUUCCCAAAACAAUGCAUAAAGUUAUGUCUCAGCAUUUAGUGACCUCAGAACAAUUCUACCUUGGUUAAUAAGCAUCCCAGAAAGUUAGGGCAUAACUAACUGUUCAUACACAUAAGCCACAAGGCAGAAGAAAAUACUGCUUGCUCUGUACUUCCACGUGAACACGCAAGAGAAAGUCCUGAGAGAAAAUGGGCUACAUUUUUAGAAUCCUUGUUCCACUAAGUCUCAUGCAUUCUCAUGCCCUAAAAUUUAGGAAAGGGUCAUUCAGCCCUCUGCAGAAGGAAUGUGUUUAAUUUAAAAUGAAGCCAGUUUGAGUUUUUCUUUUAGAAUUAACAGAACACCUACAAGCUGAAUUCACUGCUAGUAUAUAGUGGUAUGAAUCCAAUGGUGGUAUGCUUCUUUGCACUAGUGUUGACAUAGGUCUUGUUGUGAUAUUGUUAUGAAGCUUUGAGUGUUUUCUGACAUGGAAACUGACAUGACUAAGAAUUGUAGUAAAAUUUUUCCAUCUGUAAUUCUUGGAUCAAAAGGUUACAAUAUGAUACUCUAGCAUGCUGUUAAAGGAUAUAUUAACAUAAUAUCCUUUCCACUUUAUUGGUUUUUCAGAACUCCAUUUAGUCAAUGGGCCAAAUGUAUCAGAAUCGGAAAAUGUAUAUAUGAAUAACAGUACUAUAAAUGUUUACCUUUCCUUAGAUUUCUAUUUCAUCAAUGUUAGUGCUUUAUUUUUAAUCAAGGAUUUAAAAUUAUGGGAAACAAAGGGUAGAAAUAAAUUAUCAUUUUUUUCAACGGAAAUAGGUAAAUAGGAAGGUCCCCAAAAGGUUCCAUGCUUGGACCUAUGCUGUUCAACGUAUUACUACAUUAUUUGAAAAGGGGUUUAAACAAUUAGGUGACAGAGUUUGCAGUUGAUAAUAAAUUACUCAAGAUGGUUAAGUUCAAAACUGAUUAAAGAAUUACCAAAGUGUUUCACAGACCAGCAGGACACCCAGCCCUCAGUAUAAUAGACAGCCAGUUUGAUGGUCUGGUCGAGGGACUGCAGAUCAUUCCUCUGAAAUAUCAUCCAGAAUCGCAGAAGCUAUUCCACCCGCAAUUACGACCAUAUCAGCGCA